CUCACACACGUUGCGCGCACUCACUGACCUGCGCCCACUGUCUGGCACUCCCUAGUGAGAUGAACCCGGUACCUCAGAUGGAAAUGCAGAAAUCACCCGUCGUCUUCAUCGCUCACGCUGGGAGCUGUAGAGCGGAGCUGUUCCUAUUCGGACAUCUUGACUCCUCCCAAUAUUUAUUCUUUCUAUCCAGGCACUAAGUUCAACUUUGAAAAAAAAAAGUUCCCUGUUCAACUUUUGGGGACAGAAAAGUUAAAGAGCAUCCAAAAAGAUGACAACUUACAUCUCCUUGAUACCUGCUGGAUGCUGGGAGGAGACACAGGAGCAUGAAUAGAUGACAAAGUUCAAUGAUAAUCAUUCUUUGAAGUUUAUCUACCCAAACUGGAGCCAUGUCAAAAGACUCCUUGAAGAAUGAUUGCUGGGGAAGAAAUCAAUGGCAUCAACAGAAAGAACAAAGACAGAAAAUGUAAAAGGCAAGGGGAAAAGAAAAAGAAAGACAUAAAAAUUUAAGAAAAAAGAGGCAAAAGAAAACUAAAAAAAUAGAGACUAGGCUUCUUUAAUGGCUCCAACAGAAAUUAAAAAAAAAAAAAAAAAAACUACAUCUGCCUUUUGCUUUUGAAUAAAUAGAACAUUUUACCAAUAAUGCCAAGAUGACUCACAACACACAUUUUAUGUAUCUUGUAAUUUUCCUAUACACUGCAAAGACAACAUAGUUGAGCUAAUACUAGCGAAGUCUUACAUGUAAUUAUAGGAUGCCUAUAGCAUUUCUAGUAUAAUAUAUUAAUGAAAACCAGUUAUUUAAUUAUGGCAUAAUAUCAUGAAAAGCUUUUAUAGUCACUUGCUAAAACAGACCAAAAAAACAUUUUCCCAAAUAUAGCUGAGGAACAGUAGAAUCGUAUCUUGAUGUCAGUAGAUGCCUUUGCCGGGGUGUAGAAACAGCUUCUCCUGUCAUUAAAAGGACAAACUGUAAUCCAUCUGCCAUGUAUAAUUUGACAAUCUGCAAUCUUUAAACAGUAGGAGGGAAAGACAUGUCUUCCAAAAUUUCCCCUGAAGGAGGAGGCUUUCAGCAGUUCCCAAUUACUAUCUAGGCCUAAUGUCUCACUUGAGACAUCUGCUCAGCAGUUAGUAGUGAAAACCUGGCAUACAGGAGAUCAGAGGUGUGCCUCAUAAUUAUUGUUGGCCUUUAAAUGGCCAACUUUUAGAAUAUGAGCCAAUCACUAAGCUUCAGGUGUGCAUUUUGGCAACCUUUGGUGGGGUGCCAGUAUAAACCCCCAGAUCUAACUUUUGUUCACAUAAACUUCUGAGAUGAUAAUCUUUCUAAAGUUCAAGGUGGAAAAAUUCACUGUGAAGUGAGUCUGGGUUCAGUAAUGAGCCAAAGAUCUUAACACAUUUCUACUGAUAAUAGAAGAAUGAAAAUCAUAGAAUGCCAUAGAUCCAUGUUUCCUGCAGAUAAGGAUUGCUUUCUUGGGACCCAUUUCAGCUCAUUACAUUUAUUAAGUCAACUAAAAAUCUUUCCUGGCACUGGUUCAGAAUGCACAAAGCUGUUGUCUACAAAAACCUACUUUAGUUACCACGUGGGUGUUUUCCCAGGUAGGGGUGAUUUUAAAGGGAAAAUAAGAAAAUGGAAAAUUCCAUUUUGCAGAUUUAGGCUUACCUUCUGAAAUCUUGAGAAUGCUGGGUGAGAUUUAAGACAGACUCUGUCGUUCUAUCAUCAGAGAAAUGCAAAUCAAAACCGCAAUGAGAUACUAUCUCACACCAGUCAGAAUGGCUUUUGAUAAAGAGUCAAAAAAUAACAGAUGUUGGCAAGGCUGUGGAGAAAAGGGUGAACUGAUACUCUGUUGCAAUGUAAAUUAGUCCAGCCACUGUGGAGGGGGCAGUUUGGAGAGUUUGGAAAGAAGUGAGAGUUGAACUGCCAUUCAAACCAGCAAUUCCAUUACUAGAUAGGUCUGGAUGUCUGGAAAAUAAAUUGCUGUACCAAAAGGAAACAUGCACCUGUAUGUUCACUGCAGCACUAUUCACAAUAGCAAAAACGUGGAAUCAACCCAGUUGCCCAUCAACAGUGGAAUGAAUUAAAAAAAUGUGGUACAUGUACACCAUGGAAUACUAUGUAGCCAUAAAUAAGAAUAAAAUCAUGUCAUUUGCGGCAAUAUGGAUAUAGCUGGAGGUCAUUAUCCUAAGUGAAUGAAUGUAAAAAAAGAAAACCAAACGCUGCAUGCUCUUAUUUAUAAAUGGGAGCUAAACAUUGAGUACUAAUGGACUUAAAGAUGGGAAUAAUAGACACUGGGGACUACUAAAGGGUGUGAGAGAGGGAGGGGGGAAGGGCUGAGAAACUACCCAUCGGGUAUUAUGCCCACUACCUGUGUGACAGGCUCAGUCAUACUCCAAACCCCAGCACCACACAAUAUACCUUUGUAACAAACCUGCACAUGUACGUCCUGAUUCCAAAAUAAAAGUUGGAAAAGAAAAUAAAAAAGAUGAACUCUUUGCAGAAAAGCAACGAGCUGAAAGGUACAAAUAACAGUAUUGUUAAUGGGGAAAAGAACCAGUUGAUGCUUUCUUCAUGUGCAACGGUGAGAUUGUUUCAAAACAAGUAGCAUCUGCAAGCAUCCCUUCCCAACAGCCAAAAGACCCAAUCAGGGAGGGGAAAAUGACAACCAAAUGUAAUAUGGGAUCCUAGAUUGGACCUCAGAGAAGAAAAAGG
rnacentral:lncRNA from 1 species